GAUGAACGCUGGCGGCGUGCCUAAUACAUGCAAGUCGAGCGAACAGACGAGGAGCUUGCUCCUCUGACGUUAGCGGCGGACGGGUGAGUAACACGUGGAUAACCUACCUAUAAGACUGGGAUAACUUCGGGAAACCGGAGCUAAUACCGGAUAAUAUAUUGAACCGCAUGGUUCAAUAGUGAAAGGCGGUUUUGCUGUCACUUAUAGAUGGAUCCGCGCCGCAUUAGCUAGUUGGUAAGGUAACGGCUUACCAAGGCGACGAUGCGUAGCCGACCUGAGAGGGUGAUCGGCCACACUGGAACUGAGACAGGGUCCAGACUCCUACGGGAGGCAGCAGUAGGGAAUCUUCCGCAAUGGGCGAAAGCCUGACGGAGCAACGCCGCGUGAGUGAUGAAGGUCUUCGGAUCGUAAAACUCUGUUAUUAGGGAAGAACAAAUGUGUAAGUAACUAUGCACGUCUUGACGGUACCUAAUCAGAAAGCCACGGCUAACUACGUG
rnacentral:rRNA from 1 species